rnacentral:tRNA from 1 species
CUGUGCAUAGGCCGGAUCGUCAGCCAGAUCGGUUUGCUUCGGAUUGGGCGUAUACCCGGUGAAUGCAAUCACGUUCGGAUCGUGGUGUUCAGGC